AGUGAUUAUAAUAGAUAGGAUGUAGAUAUAUAUAGAGUAGAUAGUUAUGAUCACUUAUAGUAUAUAU
rnacentral:guide_RNA from 1 species